rnacentral:rRNA from 1 species
UACGUAGGGUGCGAGCGUUGUCCGGAAUUAUUGGGCGUAAAGAGCUCGUAGGCGGUGUGUCACGUCGUUCGUGAAAACCUGCAGCUUAACUGUGGGCGUGCGGUCGAUACGGGCAUCACUGGAGUUCGGCAGGGGAGACUGGAAUUCCUGGUGUAGCGGUGAAAUGCGCAGAUAUCAGGAGGAACACCGGUGGCGAAGGCGGGUCUCUGGGCCGAUAUUGACGCUGGAGGUGCGAAAGCGUGGGGAGCGAACAGG